AAAGAGUGAUCGCUCACAGAGGAGUGCGUUCUUAGGCUUUCUCUGUGCUGGGAGUGGGGCCGGUGGCCUGAGCCUGACAGCCCAUCCAGGCUGUGGUCAAAUUUGCUGACAAGCAGCCCAAAUCUGCCCAGAGCAUCUGCUCACAUCUGGGAUUGUGACUCAUCUGCCUCUGUCUCCCCCAGCACUAUUCACUCACUCCUGCAGGCCUGAGCAUGUAAGCCCCACGGUGCCCAGGGCCCAGCGCCCAGACUUGUCCCUCCACCCAAGCACCCAUCACGGCUUGUCCUUAUCUCCAACACUGCCUGCCCCUCCCAUUUAGACUUGGUCUGCUUUCCCAGCUCCAGGUUCAGGGCAAACCAUGCUUAGACCUUCUUGGACUCAGCCUGAGCUAUCAUAAGAGGUUCCCAGGCUAAAACACAUGCACAGUCUCCUGCACA
rnacentral:lncRNA from 1 species